rnacentral:tRNA from 1 species
GGAGAGAUGGCUCAGCGGUUAAGAGCACUGACUGUUCUUCCGAAGGUUCUGAGUUCAAAUCUCAGAAACUAUG